UACAGAGGGUGCGAGCGUUGUCCGGAAUUACUGGGCGUAAAGGGCGCGUAGUCGGCUUGGUAAGUCGGGGGUGAAAGUCAGCGGCUCAACCGCUGGACUGCCUUCGAGACUGCCUGGCUUGAGCAUGGUAGAGGCUGGCGGAAUUCCCGGUGUAGCGGUGGAAUGCGUAGAGAUCGGGAAGAACAUCGGUGGCGAAGGCGGCCAGCUGGGCCAUUGCUGACGCUGAGGCGCGACAGCGUGGGGAGCAAACAGG
rnacentral:rRNA from 1 species